AAGAGUAUAAUUUAAUGGGUAAAAUAGGAAGCUUCAAACUUCAAAAUACCAGUUCAAACCUGGGUACUCUUG